rnacentral:rRNA from 1 species
GACGAACGCUGGCGGCGUGCUUAACACAUGCAGGUCGAACGAUGAAGCCGGAGCUUGCUCUGGUGAAUUAGUGGCGAACGGGUGGGUAACACGUGAGUAACCUGCCCUUGACUCUGGGAUAACUGCGGGAAACUGUAGCUAAUACCGGAUACGACCCUCGGAGGCAUCUCCUGGGGGUGGAAAGAAUUUCGGUCAAGGAUGGACUCGCGGCCUAUCAGCUAGUUGGUGAGGUAAAGGCUCACCAAGGCGACGACGGGUAGCCGGCCUGAGAGGGUGACCGGCCACACUGGGACUGAGACACGGCCCAGACUCCUACGGGAGGCAGCAGUGGGGAAUAUUGCACAAUGGGCGCAAGCCUGAUGCAGCAACGCCGCGUGAGGGAUGACGGCCUUCGGGUUGUAAACCUCUUUUAGCAGGGAAGAAGCGAAAGUGACGGUACCUGCAGAAAAAGCACCGGCUAACUACGUGCCAGCCGCCGCAGUAA